GGGCUAAUACUGUCCUGUUUACCAGAAAGCUUUAGGCAGUUUUUACCCUCCGUUUCCUAUUUAUCGUUUUGAAAACCAUAUCAAAGGGCUUGACCUUUAGUUAGAACCUCCCAGCACUUUAAUUAGUUUGCAGCUGCUGUCACCCUGCCUGGAAUCCCUGUGAAGGAUGGGCGGUGACAUCAGCACCAGCAACAAGUACUUAUGGAUCUAGAACAAUACCAAUUUGAGAUGAGUCCUGCUGACAAGAAGGUGUCCAGUGUGCUCAUUAUUUGCAGGCUUGUCUCAAGUUAUAGAAAAUGUGCUGAUUGUUGUUUACUCUUCUUCUCACUUGCUGAGUUUCAAAGCUCUGUUAAGGAUUAUUAUUCCAGAAUGAUUAGGUCUAAUAUUAAUUCUGCUUCCCUGACUCACGGGAUGUCAGCUGUUGUCACUGCACAUCGGGAAAAGCCUGUUGCCAUUACUUACUCUGGUAAAAUAAUUAGUUGUGGAUUUGCUCGGCCAGCACAUUCCCCUCACAUGAUGAAUAGCAUCCAUCAUUACCUGAUGUACACCACAUCUCAGUCUGCUCAGAAUUAAAUUCGAUUUAGAAAAAUAGGACAUGGCUCAAGGAUUUUUAUGAUUUCAGAGAUAGUAUUAAAUAUUCAAUAAAACCAGAGGAAGAGGCCAACAAAUGCUCAGUGAAAGGAGAGCAGAGGAAGAGAAUAAUGUAAAAGGAGCAAGUCAAGCCUCAUAUAAGCAGAUAAAAGGAUUAUUUCUUGUUCUAAUAGAGGCCUGAGGUAAAUUGAUGAUGCACCAAAUGCAGAGCCAGCAAAAUAUGAAGCAGGUGCACAUAUUUUUAUAUUUGUGAAAGGGGAAUUAAUGCUCAAAAUAUGUAUUAAUGUUGGAAAUAUACAGACGUAGAUAUAUUUGUUGGUAGCCUUACAGCAUAUUGAGAGAACACUUCAUUUCGUCUGCAGAGCUAUUUCAUCAAAAGCUGUGUAAUGUAAACCUGCGUGGUUUCAAAGUGUGAUGGAGACAACAAGACAGAGAAAGGAAAUGAUGUAUUCCUUAUUUUGCAGAUGCCUGUUAAAACCAGUAGACAGGUGUUUGGGGUGCGUAUUGACAAGAAUAAUCCUGUAUUAAACUAUUUAAUAUUCGUUUUUAUCGUAUGGACUUCACUGAGGCUAGAGCAAAUAAAUCCAAGACUGAAGCUCAGAGGGGAGGUUAUAGACGUCCAUGUAAAAGCUGAAGGUUAGAAGACCUUGUCCAUGUUUCAGUGAACACAGCUGACAAGACUUCUUAAAAUCUAUCAUUUCCAUGGAGCAGUAUUGGAGCUCUCAGGAUGGGGACACAAAGACUGUUUCUCAAUAUGCAUACUUGUCCAAACUUGUGUACUCACAUCCUUGUGGAACGUCAUCGACGAUGGCUCAAGGACUGUUCCAAUCCUAAGUAUGCAUAACGGCAAGUUCGCUCAAAGUUCCCGGAUUUGUUCUUGCUCCGCCCACUGUAUCGAGGAUGCAUCCUUCUGCGGGACAGCAAAGUCUCCCACUAUGUAUGCGUCACAAACUGUUAAACUACGAACGUCAGAGGAAAAAGCUAAUAACUGUAAUGUUUUAUAUUAGAAAUAUAAAUAAAAUAUUCUAAAGUUGUCUGUUGUUGUAAAUAAUUGUGUGUAAACUGUAAAUUGUGCUGUGUGUUUGGGAUUUUCGCUUCACAAUCCUUCUAAAUGCUAAUUAGCUAACCCACUAUCAAAAUAAAAGCACCAUAGGUCUAUUCUGAUGAAAAAUACACUUUUUUAUUCAUUAAAGAGUGGGAAAUGCUAAUAUUUCAAUAGUUUUGACCAAAAGUGGGCCAGAUAUAACACAAAUACCUUUUUGUUGUUAUUUAUUUAUUUAAGAAAAAAACUAGACUUUUAUUUUUAACUUUUAAUUGUUUUUUUAACUUUCAUAACAAGAAGCAGCGCCCGAGAUUUUGAGAAGUCAAGUGGUCACACAGGAUGUGCCGCGUCUCUGAGUGCUUCUUGGAAAGUUGCGCAAUAGUCACAACAUUACGCUGGACUUAGAGACUUGGAGAUAGGGUGAGAAAGCGGGAAGUGACUCUAUUGUUUAUACGUGAUUGGAUUGCCAUCAUGUUUUGGGGAACUCAAAUUGAUUAAAAAUGGGUAGGUACGCUAUUUAUUUGAAUACUUUAAGAAUAAUAGUACUUUAAAAUGAUCAAAACUGCGGCUGGGUUUGUGCCGGCGGUUGAGUUUGUGCAGGUAAAGCCGUUCCGCUUCGUAAUGUCUGUUGUAAAGUACUACACAACGUUGUUAAGAGCCGCAGCACGACGGCACUUGAAGUAGAAUGUGGCACAGCGCUUCUGGGAUACGGCGCACCCCAUGUGCCCACUCUCAUGAACUAUAAUGGCUUCUUUUUGAAAUGACAGCACGGCGUAUCUGCCUCCGGUGUGCCCCAGGCUUUAGGGUGUUACUCAGUGUCAAGGCGCCUGGUCUUGCAAGGCGAUGUCUUGCUAGGCCAGGCGCCUAGCUUACGAGGACACUGUCCUUCCUUGGUCAAAGAAAACAGUUAUGUGUAACAGACUUGCAUCACGUGUCCGCGACUUCCGCGGCGGUCACAUAGCAUCAUGUGACACAGGAAAUAAUGUUAUAUUUCAUAGGUAUAAGAUUCAAUAUAAAUAUAUAACAAGACUUUUACUUUUUAAAUUGUGUAUAUCUUUGAUAAAUUAAAUAUAUAAGUGAGUUACUACUGCUUGCCACCGAAGCUGCAACUACUAGGCAACUAACCAAUUGUUAGACUAUUAGUUGAGUAACAUUUUAACUUGAAAUUUGCCCCCGUAGUAGCUGCCAGCUUCUGAUCCACCAUCCUUUUGAAAAUACCGUUGUGUAUUCUGGGAAAUUUUUUACCAAGGCUAAACCACAAGACUCCUCCCAUGUAACCUUGCUCAGCUAGCUAAGUUGACGGCUAACAACCAGAGAACACACGCCUCGGUAGAACAACAUUGGAACAUGCCGUGGCUGUUCCUGAUGACGUGUUUCCUAGGUAACCGGGGUGGGGCCAGGACAUCAAGGUGAGGUUCCUUGACAUUGGGAAACACCCUUAGACCCGCUCCCAUGUACUUUAGACCUGAUUUAUGUGGUUAUAUGUUACAAAGCCUCCAAUAUUUUUCAACAACUGUGCAUCAUGUAAUUCAUUUUCAACAAUAUUUUUAUGAAAUUUUCCUGAAAUUAAUGGUAAAAAUGACACAUUGUCUCUUUAAAUAGGUCAUUUCAAGGAAAUGAUCAGUGUUCCCCCUGUGCGUCGUGUGUUUCAGCUUUAGGAUUUUUUUCCCAAGUUAGCCUUUAGGGUUAGCAUUUAGGUUUCCAUUCAUGCCACAAAUUUUCCCGUGAGUCUUAUGAUGUUUGUCAGUCAGUCCUUAGUGUCUGUUAAGUUUCCCUCAAAUGUCAGGUAGUUUUCUUGUCUCUGUGUUGUAUGACUUGUUUUUUCUCCCAGACUCCUAGCGUCUUUGUGUGACCCCUCAUGAACUCGGAGUGUAAAGAUGGACGCACCCUUACGUUUGAUGAAAAAAUAAAUAAUAUUGUUCAGUCGUGUUUUUCACUCCCAUUGCAUAUGUAGUAUUAAAUCAGCAUUGUCCCACACAGCUGCAUAUAGUAAUCCAGUACUUAAUAACAUCAGGGCAUUACUUUAAGUCCCAGCCAAACGUUCAUUAAUAGGCUGCAGAUGGUCCUAAACUUGGCAGCGAGAUUUUUGACAGGUACUAAGCAAAGAGACCAUGUCACCUCAGUUCCCGCUUGGCUUCAUUGGCUUCCAGUCCUUUUUAGAAUAGAUGUUAAAGAGCAAGUCACAUCAAAAUCAACUUUUUUUUAGCUGAUAGCUAGUAUAAAAGAGCGUCUAAUAGUGUUGUACAGAUGUGUAGUUAUUAUUUUUGCAUUUUGAUGCAUUUUCUUUGAAAACUCUAAAUUCUGUCUAAAAACAUCAGGCUAGCACCAUCUUCAGCUCAGAAGUAUAGAACACGUUUAUUUUGAGUCAGUUUUAGCCAAUGGCUAACGAGAACAAUGCUACAUAUUUCAGAAAAGUACUACGUUGCAGCUCUGUGGCUGUAGGUUAUAGAAGCACCGUGGUCUCAACCAGCCUUGUAGCAGUCGAAGCUCAGAUUAGCCGCAAGUGAGUUUUGCUGUAGUUAGCGUUAGCAUUGUGUCAGAGUCCCAGCAAAAUUUCUAGUAUUAUAGUUAUUUAGUUCUAGUAGCUUGGCUGUUAAUAUUGUAGUCAAGUGUUUCUUACAUGUUACUCUUUCAACAACUUGAUGGAGUUUGAACCGGGUUAUGCUGGUUUGAAGAUAGUGAUGGGAUUUGUUGCUCUUUCAUGGGAGCCGUUCAUUAGUCGGUCGUUUACCUCAAAGAGCCAUUCAAAAGACUGGCUCCUUUGAACGAAGUGAAGCCAAGAGAGUGCUGUGGUGUCCGUUCGUGAGGGCGCACAGGGUUGGUUAGCAUUUCUGCUAUGGUUCCUCCUACGUCCGUCACAGCAGUGGGUGGGGUUUGAGCGGGGGAGUUUGACCGACUUCCGGGGAGGUUUGUUAAGAUGAACGGCUCUCUACAGGGACUCGGCUCUCAUCAUUCACUUUGAAAACCCGUUCAAAAGAUUUGAUUCGUUCAUGAACGUCACAUCACUAUUUGAAGAGCAUUUCACAAAUUAGUCCAAGCCGUUCCAGUAAUUAGUCGGAUCCCACCGACCACUGCAUCCUCAAAAUGGAGAUUUUGGGCCCAAUUUCAGGUGAGUAAGCUAAAUAAUUACAUUUAACAGCUUCUAAAGAUCGUUCCCUACCUUUAAUUUCGCAGCUAUAUUUGCUACAUUUAUAAAUGCAAAGUAAGAGCGACGUGGAUGUAGUUCACGUAAUUUAGACAAUCAGUCCACACUGCCACAGGCUCGAAGCGAGUGUUGUGUGUGUUAUAAUGUCACAGACUGGUUCGGGUUGAGUUUUUGUGCCAGUUAGUAAUAUCAGCGCUGAUGCAGAGCAGGAGGGACACUGACGAGCAGCUCCUCCUUCUGCUAAAAAACUGACCCGGUUCUAAACUGGUGCUGAGUCCGGUUCUCAUUAGAACAUGUCUGAUUCUGGACACUGAGCCUGCUCUGAGAGCAGUCCGAUCACUCACCAGCAAUGUUAUGAAGUACUUAUAUUAGUUUGUUUUGUACAUGAUCUAAGUUACUAAACUCCCACAACAACGUGAUGUUAAUAUUAUUUUCAGGCUAAAUCUGCUCAAGACGGAUGUAGUCCUCCAGCCUGCACCGGUCCAGGCUAGAAUUCUUAUAGGUGAAUUAUUUAACCAUCUGUCUUUCUUUACCUUCUAGUUGUAACAUUAUUUUAUUAUUUUAGCUCAUUGUUACACACGUGUGGUGCUGCCCUUAAAACAACUAUAAAUAUAUUUGCUGUUUCUUUAUAUUUCACAUGGCCUCCCAGCAGCUGUGUGUCUGACACUGGGACCAUGAUGGGAAUUCCACCCAGACCAGCUUCUACACUCCUGAACAGACCCAGGUGUGGUGAGAGCUUCUGAGCAGCUUCCAUCUGAAUGGCAGGACAAGCUCCAUGAUCUGAUCCAGGUAAACAGUAUAAUAAAUAAUAAUAUUGUACUCUGUAUUCUGUUUUUUCCUUACAUCUCAGCCUGGCAGGUCACCACUGGAGAGGAGUAUCUUCCCAGACUCACAUCCAUUUUACCUCAGGGCCUCCUGAUCUAACAGAAAUACCUGUAGCUCCAUCCUCGCUCCGCUCUCCACAUGUUUCUCAUCAUCUCUGGAAGCUACCUCCCACAACACUGUGAUGUUAUAUAUAUUUUUAUUUUUUCAGGCUAAAUGAACCCAAGUAAUCUGCUCUCAGACUGAUUGUUCCAGCUACAAUUGUUCCAGACUAACAUGAAGCCUUGCAGGUGUAGUAAAGCUUAUUGCUACACGUGUGUUGCUGCUGUGAGCUUGUAGCUAGAUUACAUCAUGACAUCAUGAAGGAGGCUACUGAUUCUGGCCCUGUGACACUUGGUGAUGUGUGAGCUGAUUCACCUGGUAAAUAACUUUGACAUUAAAUAUUUUGUUUUUGCUAUCAAAAGUAAAUUAACUAAUAACCUGCAUUAUUGCAGGACACUCAGCAAAAUAUGGACUCUACACCAUGAGGCAGGCACACGUUAAUACUCUAUAAGAGCACAUAAGCCUGGCUGAUCACCUGAUAACUCCUGUCAUCUGGUUGUGACAGCAUGAGGAUGUCCUCACACACCUGUAACCUAUCAGCUCAUCUGGCAGAAUAGAGAGAGAAGAGACAACACCACAUAUCCUGUUCCUGGAAAGCCUUCAGCCAUCCUUCGAUGACUGAGAACCUCCAUCAGCUCUGUCUCCUGUCUGCCUACAAUUAUUAUAAUAAAUAGUGUGUUUGAGAAGUUUUUUGUGCUGCCAAAUGUCUCAUUUUGAUUCCAGUUUUUAUAUUUUAAUAGAUUUUUAUAAAUUACAUUUAUUGAAUUACCACAUUGUUGCAUGUUUAACUAACUCUAUUGUGAUGAAUUAAACUAGCACCUCACUGUUAAAACUCGUUUUAAUUUCAAGCAUGUUUAAGUAUUUAUGGACAUGAACAAAAACAGGAAAUAUAUAAAUUGAGAUUUAUUUAAAUAAUAUAACAAAUAACUGUUUAGAGGAAAGAUUCAUUGAAAGGCACAUUCUUCUAGAAGCUUCUGAUCCUGAUGACACCAGCAGGAGACCACCUGCAGACAGCAGAGGAUCACCUACGACCAAGAGAGCAGCUAGUAUCAGUAAAUAAAUAAAUCAGGGCAGUUUUAGUGGGCUGAACACAUUGCAGAAUAAUUUUCUCAUGGGAUAGUUUCAUAACUUUCUAUGCAGCAGACUGUAGCUUGAGCCCAGGGCUCCUGGAGAGCUGCUAUCCAGCAUGUUUCAGUGGUUUUCCUGCUUUAACAGGUUAGAUUAGCUGUUCAGCAGCUCAGCUAUUUGUUGCUGAUUAAAAUCAGGUGUGUUGAAGCAGAUAAACCUCUAAAACAUGCUGAAUACUAGCUCUCUAGGGCUGUGGAGCCAAACCCUGCAGCUAAUCUAAUGCUAUGGCUAACGGCUACUUA